CCUACGGGAGGCAGCAGUGGGGAAUAUUGCACAAUGGGGGAAACCCUGAUGCAGCGACGCCGCGUGAAGGAAGAAGUAUUUCGGUAUGUAAACUUCUAUCAGCAGGGAAGAAAAUGACGGUACCUGUCUAAGAAGCCCCGGCUAACUACGUGCCAGCAGCCGCUGUAAUACGUUGGGGGCAGGCGUUAUCCGGAUUUAAUGGGUGUAAAGGGGGCGUUGGCGGUGCAGCAAGUCAGAAGUGAAAGCCCGGGGCUCAACUCCGGGACUGCUUUUGAAACUGUUGAACUAGAGUGCAGGAGAGGUAAGUGGAAUUCCUGGUGUAGCGGUGAAAUGCGUAGAUAUUAGGAAGAACACCAGUGGCGAAGGCAGCAUACUGGACUGCAAAUGACGCUGAGGCACGAAAGCGUGGGGAUCGAACAGGAUUAGAUACCCCAGUAGUC
rnacentral:rRNA from 1 species